GUCCUAGAAAAACUUCAUUUUUUCGAUUUCCGUGUCUAACCUUUUGACUAUCCAUCUUAUUUAAAAAUUUUAUAUUUUUUUUAAAAACAUUAGUCACGUGCAAAGUAUUAUUCAUAUUUUAUCAUCUCUUAAAAAUAUUAAUCACAAAAAAGUUUCAAAUAAGAUGAAUAAUCAAAGAUUAUAUCAAAAACUAGAAAACAACUUAUUUCGGGAUGAAAAAAGUAUCUCGUAAAGAAUGAAACAAUAUGUUGAGAAAA
rnacentral:lncRNA from 1 species